rnacentral:rRNA from 1 species
AUGUAUAGAGGUGCUGCAUGGUUGUCGUCAGCUCGUGUCGUGAGAUGUGGGUUAAGUCCCGCAACGAGCGCAACCCCUACUCUCUGUUGCUAUCAGGUAAUGCUGGGCACUCUGAGGGAACUGCCGGUGACAAACCGGAGGAAGGUGGGGACGACGUCAAAUCAUCACGGCCCUUAUGUCCAGGGCUACACACGUGCUACAAUGGCCGGUACAAAGAGUUGCGAGACCGCGAGGUGGAGCUAAUCUCAGAAAACCGGUCUCAGUUCGGAUUGGAGUCUGCAACUCGACUCCAUGAAGUUGGAAUCGCUAGUAAUCGCGGAUCAGCAUGUCGCGGUGAAUACGUUCCCGGGUCUU